rnacentral:rRNA from 1 species
GUAGGUGGCAAGCGUUGUCCGGAAUUAUUGGGCGUAAAGCGCGCGCAGGGCGGUUCUUUAAGUCUGAUGUGAAAGCCCACGGCUCAACCGUGGAGGGCCAUUGGAAACUGGAGAACUUGAGUACAGAAGAGGAAAGCGGAAUUCCACGUGUAGCGGUGAAAUGCGUAGAGAUGUGGAGGAACACCAGUGGCGAAGGCGGCUUUCUGGUCUGUAACUGACGCUGAGGCGCGAAAGCGUGGGGAGCAAACAGGAUUAGAUACCCUGGUAGUCCACGCCGUAAACGAUGAGUGCUAAGUGUUAGGGGGUUUCCGCCCCUUAGUGCUGCAGCUAACGCAUUAAGCACUCCGCCUGGGGAGUACGACCGCAAGGUUG